rnacentral:rRNA from 1 species
AGAGUUUGAUCAUGGCUCAGGAUGAACGCUGGCGGCGUGCCUAACACAUGCAAGUCGAGCGAUUCUUUUCGGAGAAGAGCGGCGGACGGGUGAGUAACGCGUGGGUAACCUGCCCUGUACACACGGAUAACAUACCGAAAGGUAUGCUAAUACGAGAUAAUAUACUUUUAUCGCAUGGUAGAAGUAUCAAAGCUCCGGCGGUACAGGAUGGACCCGCGUCUGAUUAGCUGGUUGGUAAGGUAACGGCUUACCAAGGCGACGAUCAGUAGCCGACCUGAGAGGGUGAUCGGCCACAUUGGAACUGAGACACGGUCCAAACUCCUACGGGAGGCAGCAGUGGGGAAUAUUGCACAAUGGGCGAAAGCCUGAUGCAGCAACGCCGCGUGAGCGAUGAAGGCCUUCGGGUCGUAAAGCUCUGUCCUCAAGGAAGAUAAUGACGGUACUUGAGGAGGAAGCCCCGGCUAACUACGUGCCAGCAGCCGCGGUAAUACGUAGGGGGCUAGCGUUAUCCGGAAUUACUGGGCGUAAAGGGUGCGUAGGUGGUUUCUUAAGUCAGAGGUGAAAGGCUACGGCUCAACCGUAGUAAGCCUUUGAAACUGGGGAACUUGAGUGCAGGAGAGGAGAGUGGAAUUCCUAGUGUAGCGGUGAAAUGCGUAGAUAUUAGGAGGAACACCAGUUGCGAAGGCGGCUCUCUGGACUGUAACUGACACUGAGGCACGAAAGCGUGGGGAGCAAACAGGAUUAGAUACCCUGUAGUCCACGCCGUAAACGAUGAGUACUAGCUGUCGGAGGUUACCCCCUUCGGUGGCGCAGCUAACGCAUUAAGUACUCCGCCUGGGAAGUACGCUCGCAGAGUGAAACUCAAAGGAAUUGACGG